GCACUGUUUAAUCUUGCUCUGCUGGCUUCUCUAUGUGAUUAAAGCUCCAUGCUCUUGUGUAUUACCGAUCAGUUAUCAACAGUGGCUUUAGGAGAUCCACAGUCCUCCCGUCCGUCCUUCCAGCGGCCUGCUGGGCUCUGAGCUGCUGUGCGCAGAGUGACCCGAGGAUGACAAAUGAUGGCCUAAAAAUUACAAUCCCGUGUGGAGAGCUGCCUGCUCUCAGCUGCACUUUGGCACACAACCUUGCAGGAGAGCUCGAAAAUGCUUCAGAAUGAGAAGUGUCCAUUGCUGCUCUCCAGGGAGAAUUCUUGGACAUAAUUUGCCUGCUUUCUAUUCCACAAGACAACUGCUGAAUUCAACAGACAGACAGCCUUAAAAUCUGCAAAUAUCUUCCCCGUAGCUCUCUGUGAUUCUGUACUUGCUGGUCCUGAACACAGCAUUGUUGGUUUGUUGAGUGGAAACUUAGUCCAGGUCAUGGUUUAUUUGCUUGUGAUAUUUGCCUGUUUUGCUAAUGUAUAGUGUUUUCCUUUUCUCUUCUUAAAAGGUGAUGGUUUCAUGUGUAAGCCACUUAAGAUGUAAACUGGGAAUCAGUUAAGUAAUUUGGUUGACGGGGCAAGUGGAAUGGGACCUAGUUCUGUCUGGCCGUUGCACCAUCCUCUCCUAUCAUUGGUCUUUUCCAGGAUUGUGGAACCUGCAUUUGUGAGUUUCAAGCUCAACACUGCAGUACAGGUGGCCUUCCUUUGCCUCUUCGUCUUCUGGUCAAAAACAAGAAAUGGCCAAACUGAGCUAAGCUAGUGGACAGGAGGGAGAAAGAGAACAGGAUGGGAACCAUGUGUACACAGUCCUUAUCCUACAUCGAGUCAAGGGCUCACUGUCUGUUACCAGUUACUUGAAGUGGGAGAGAGCACUAUGCAGAAUGAGAACCAGGUCUUGGUCCUCUCCUGGAUUAGCUGUGUAUGCUAGGAUGUGACCUUCCUUGGCCCAGGUCUUUCGAGGUGGUGCAGAUUGUUACUGCAGUUCUUUCUAGCUAGGAAGUGCUCUCUGCAUUCAAGGCACCACGCUUCCCUUAGUUAUGUUACUGAUUUUAAGUUUUUUGCAUAUUUUUCUACUUUACGUUGGAUCCAACUUAGGAUGCAUGUGAAGAAUGGUGUCAAAAAGUCAUUUUGGCACUUCAUGUGCUCUUUUUAUCUUUUCUACUGAAAUGAUUUUGAAUGUCAAAUUGAAUCAGCUUUUCUUUACCAUUCUGUUCCGCAUAUGUUUUACAAAAUCUCUGCAUAACGCCAUGUCUUUUAAUGAGUUUGCUCAUUGGCAAGCAAAUGUUUAUAGCCUCGGUCUCUAGCAGUUUCUGUGAUUCAUGCGCUUAGCUCGGAUUCAAGAGGAAGCAGAGGAUCAUUUUCAGCAUGGUUUGGAGGCCAAUAUGAAGAAGUGCAAGAUUAAUCACGGCUUUUACAAGAAGAGGCAAUUGCACGCGUCCACUUCAGCAAAGGAGGGAUCCAUAGCUAGAAACCCAACACAUGGAAACUCUAUAAUGACAGCUGGAGACGAAAAGGCAGGCUGAGUUGAGAGAGACAGCAGAGCUACCUGCUUUCAUCAGGAAGCAAGAGGCUGUGCUCUAAAAGAGGCUGCAGUCCUUACCGCAGCCUGAUCUGCCGGUAAGGUCUCAGGGCGCUGCCCAUCGCCAUCUGAGGACGGACUUCCGACAAAGACUGCACAUGGUUUCUGUGACUGUAGGUGCAAGUAUGCACAAGCAAGAGGCGUGCAAGAAGAAAGAAGCUGCUGACAAAGGGCAGGAACACUUGGGUAUUGGUUCUAAGGAAGAUGAAGCGCGUCUUUCCUUCAGACCACUGUAUGGUGGGCUGAACAGCUGCGUUAGGGAGAAAUGAUGCUUCUGCUUUGUUAAUGACCCGAACUGAUGAUGCACUGACAAUGCUUGCAUCUCUUUGCCUUACUUCAGAAGUUGUCUUCUCACUUAAUGUUGCUGUCUCAUUCCCCUUAUACUUUAUGUUCAAUUAGAACUUCUAUGUUUACACGUUGGAAGCCUCCUCACGCGUUCAUCAUAUGGUGACUGACAUCAGCAAAGGGGGCAGGCGACUGGCUUUUCUUUAAAUUCUUGGCAAGGUAAAGACAAGUGCCAGAAGAUCUGCCAUUGAAGGAAGAUAUCGCUCAUGCUGCGUUUGAAAAUAUUCUCAUUCUCUACAUUUGUAUAGGACAAGCAUAGUAAGAUGAUGGGUUAAAUAGUGGGCAGGAUAAGUACUAAAUUAUUAAGCAACAUGAAGCCAAGCUUUGUGGUGCAUGACUGUCACUCCAGCACUCUGGGAGUCUGGACAAGGAACAGCUCGAGUUCCAGUCCAGUAUGGGAGACUUGGUGAUUUAGUGAUGCUCUGUCUCAAACUUACAAUACUAAAAAAGACUGAGGGGCCAUGUGGCUCCCGGAGAAGACCUUGAGUUCAGUCUCUAGUGGUACAAAAAAGAAGAAGGAGAAGGAGGAGGUGGAGGCAGAAGGGAAGGGAAAGAAUAAGGGAUACGAGGAAAACAGUGUGGAGUAUACACAGAUAUAUAAACAACCCUGCACCAUUUCUAUCCAAAAUAUGGUUGAAAGAAAUAUUUUUGUAACCACUUUUGAGGCAUGAAAUAUAUUACCCCUUCCUACCAUUAAAAGAGAGUAACAGUUAGGUCCAGAACUUUGAGACAAUAGAGGAACACAUGGGCACAGCCACAGGGAGCCACCUGCCUGUCCUGCUCCUCACCAUACUCGGUAUUAUCUGCAAAUCAGUGUGAAGUGAUUAAGAUACAAGGGUGGAGGGAGGAGAGGGGAUGGGGAGAGGAAGCAGAAGUCAAAGAGACUCAGGAUGCUCUAGGGCUAAGUAUGGGCUCCCCACCAUGAACAUAUUCAUUUUGCAUUGCAAAGAUACAAUAAUGCAAGUUAUCUUUGUAAAUAAUCAUAUUUCAAUGUGAAAAAUGAUUCAAUAUAAAGGGAAAACUAAGGAUUAUCCUGAGUCAAGUUACCACAGGAAUAUUUGUUUCCAAUUGUGCUGUAUGACUCCAGGAAUAUUUAUUUCCAAUUCAUCAUGGAAGCUAUUUUUCAAUACUUUCAUCGUUCUGUCCUUCUAAUUUGAAUUGAGAGAAGUGAAGUUUGGCAGUACGCUGACACAGUCUGGCUUUUAUUUGCUUUGACUGCUGUCCUUGUUGGCUGUGGCGAUUGCUUUGUGCCUCCUUUGGUUCACAUGAGAACACCCUGCGAUCCUCUUGGGACACUUGCUGCGUUCCUAGUGCCCGGCACACUGUCUGGAUCGUGUGUGAGGAUGGUUACUGCCUACUGGUUACUACCUGGUUACUACCUGGUUACUACGUGGUUACUGACCACUUGGAGGCAGGUGGUACAUCAUACAGGUAAAUGCAAGCAGCACAAAUACUUCUCAUGUACCAAGCCAAUGAAGCUUUUAUUAAAUGCAUAAUAACAUCA